GUUGUCGUAAGCUCUUGUAGUGAGAUGUUGGGUUAAGUCACGCAACGAGCGCAAACCUUGAUAUUAGUUGAAAUAAUUAAGUUUGGCACUCUAAGGUGACUGCCGGUGACAAAACGGAGGAAGGUGGGGAUGACGUCAAAUCAUCAUGCCCAUUAUGAAAUGGGCUACACACGUGCUACAAUGGACGGUACAAAGAGCUGCAAGACCGCGAGCUCGAGCUAAUCUCCGAAAACCGUUCU
rnacentral:rRNA from 1 species